AGAGCGAACGCUGGCGGCAGGCUUAACACAUGCAAGUCGAACGCUCGUAGCAAUACGGGAGUGGCAGACGGGUGAGUAACGCGUGGGAACAUACCCUCCGGUUCGGAAUAGCUCAGGGAAACUUGGAUUAAUACCGGAUACGGCUGAGAGGCGAAAGAUUUAUCGCCGGAGGAUUGGCCCGCGUUCGAUUAGCUUGUUGGUGAGGUAACGGCUCACCAAGGCGAUGAUCGAUAGCUGGUCUGAGAGGAUGAUCAGCCACAUUGGGACUGAGACACGGCCCAAACUCCUACGGGAGGCAGCAGUGGGGAAUAUUGGACAAUGGGCGCAAGCCUGAUCCAGCCAUGCCGCGUGAGUGAUGAAGGCCCUAGGGUUGUAAAGCUCUUUUGUGCGGGAAGAUAAUGACGGUACCGCAAGAAUAAGCCCCGGCUAACUUCGUGCCAGCAGCCGC
rnacentral:rRNA from 1 species